GACGAACGCUGGCGGCGUGCUUAACACAUGCAAGUCGAACGGAAAGGCCCUGCUUUUGUGGGGUGCUCGAGUGGCGAACGGGUGAGUAACACGUGAGUAACCUGCCCUUGACUUUGGGAUAACUUCAGGAAACUGGGGCUAAUACCGGAUAGGAGCUCCUGCUGCAUGGUGGGGGUUGGAAAGUUUCGGCGGUUGGGGAUGGACUCGCGGCUGAUCAGCUUGUUGGUGGGGUAGUGGCUUACCAAGGAUUUGACGGGUAGCCGGCCUGAGAGGGUGACCGGCCACAUUGGGACUGAGGUACGGCCCAGACUCCUACGGGAGGCAGCAGUGGGGAAUAUUGCACAAUGGGCGGAAGCCUGAUGCAGCAACGCCGCGUGCGGGAUGACGGCCUUCGGGUUGUAAACCGCUUUCGCCUGUGACGAAGCGUGAGUGACGGUAAUGGGUAAAGAAGCACCGGCUAACUACGUG
rnacentral:rRNA from 1 species